UUGGGUUAACCUCUGCAGUGCAAAGCAGAUGGUGUGUGCAGUACCAAUUCCAUGACAGCAUGUGUCAUACAAAACUCAAAUCAACAAUCAUCCAAACCAAACAGUUCAUGAUAGCAAGCAGUGCAGAUGAAGGAGCAAGUCAAAUCCAGUGUAAAUUGGUUCGGGAUCUCCACAGUUGAAAAGCAAACAAGUGAAUUGAAGAAUAAAAAACACGCGUGUUAUUCACCCAAAUCACACGUGACUCACUCCUCAUCAUCUCACUUUUAACAGAUUUUAUCAAAAUAAAUAUAGCUUAUUCCAAUUUGCCAGCUGGACAAAUGAAGAUCUCACACCUCAGGUUCAAUUCCCUAAAAUUCCCCCUUGAUUUCCAUGAUCAGAGCUCCGCCGACGCCGGCGAUGAGCUCCGGCGAGGCAGAGAUUUUGCUCGCCGGCCCGUGUUUGGAGGGAACUUUUGAAAGGAGGGAAGGUGAGCUGGCACGUGAGGGAGGUGUUGUAGCUCUGGUGUGGGGCCAUCUUGGGCCUAGGCCCACAUAAUUGACAGGUGCACACUGCUUCCAGUUCUGCACCCCUUCUGUUUGGGCCUGUUGUUGCAUUCAGGCCCAGUCUGAUUAGUUUUUUGAUUUUUUUUAUUAUUAGAGUUUAAUUGCUAUUAAUUUUGUUAAUAUUUUGUCAUUAAUUUUGUUAAUAUUUUGUUAUUAAUCUUGUUAAUAUUUUAGAGAUUAAUUUUGCUAAUAUUUUAGAUAUUAAGUGGUUG
rnacentral:lncRNA from 1 species